CGCGCGGACCCUUGGGGACCUCGGGGAAGUGUUAGCGGAGCAACGUGUGUUUGCUGGGAUUGGCUGGCGCCUCGGCGUGAGGGGUCCCGAUUGGCCGCCGAGGAUGGACCGAUUCCGCGUGGGUCUGGGCUGGUCCGAGCCUGACUGAGUUCCCCGGGUGUGCGGGUUUGCCUGUGGGCUUGGAUUAGGGCCCGUGUGCCAUGGCCAAGUGAUUGUGAAAGAAAUUCAAAGUAACCGAGGAAGCAUAAAAAAUAAAUUUGCAAGACUCAAAGACACAGAACCCAAACCUCAGAGAUCCAUCUAAACCUUGGAAGCCUGAGGAAAAUGAGUUUGCCAGAGGAGGUGGGGUCUCCAAAGCCUGACUGCUCACCCAAGCAAGAAGCUGGCCAAGGUCGUGCCCUUUAAGAAGCCUGCCUGACCAAUUCAUACAUUCUAAAUGACAUACAAGGAACAGCCAACUGAGAACAGCUGGGAAAGGAGGAGCUAUCAGUGUGAGGAAACAGAGGACUGUUUCAGUCAUGUUAAAAGGAGCAGAAAAAGAAGCACAGAGAAGCUCAGUACUGAAGACCCUCUUAGGAUAAGGCAACUUGGCUUUAAUCGUUCAGAAACUGAACAAGCAGGUGGAGUUGCCACAGGAUUUUGCUUUAGAAAUGGGUUCCCUGUGAUGUGUAGAAUGGACCAGAGAGAAGCAUCAGUGGCUGUUGAAGAUAAGGCCUAUGAUGCCAAGAGAUGAACCAACCUGGAGUCUGCUUGGUGAUGCCAGAGGUCCCUAUUGAGUCUAGCCAAUGAGGGGCGACCACGUAAUGUCAAUGGAUCAGAAUGCCUGGGUGAUGGG
rnacentral:lncRNA from 1 species